UUGAAGCUGUCCAAUAAUGCGCCCUCAAGUGUUCUCUAUGUAUUUGAGUCAGAAUUUGAGCUUCGAUAUGUAGUAUGAUUGGGAAAGACCAAUCGUGCACGUGAUGGGCCAACAUUUCCUUCCCAGUCCAUGUGUGCUAUAGUCUGUAGACUGUUUAAAUAGUAACCAUGUCGACUCAUACACGUAAUUCCAUAGCAAACCCAGAUCAAGAAAUUCGUCAAGAUCGCCGAAAAUCAACAGAGAAAUAUGGGUUUGAAGGUAUGAUUAUGUAUCUUUUUCAAAAAUGCUUUAAUUUCAGUACUAUUGACAUGCGUGCUUUUAUUUUUCCCUUUCAAUUUUGUAGUUGUUUGCACGGUGUUUUUAAAUGAAGAGUUCAGCACGAGAUUUGUAGUGGAUCUGGGUAAAAUUGAUCCAUGGAAUGGUAAUUCAGUUGAGGAACUUCUUUAUAAAUGGGACUUAAAUUAUUCAUAUCUUGGGAUUAUGGGUUUUGGUUUGUCCAUGAUUUGUUGUUGAAUAUUUUGAGAAAAUUCAUAUGGGUUUCUUGUUCUACUGGGAUUUGUGAAAAUUUUCCAGUUGUAUAUUACAUUGCUGUAUAUGAUUUGAUGUGUUUAUCUGAGUGAAUGAGGAGUGAUUUGAGAGUUUUGCUGUUUGAUGCUGCUAUGGGAGUGUCAGUUAAUGUGAACUGAAUAUAGUGUAUGUUUGGUAGUGAC
rnacentral:lncRNA from 1 species